rnacentral:sRNA from 1 species
CUGAAAUCACUCAGUUCGUACCGCGGCGCGCA